rfam:Populus trichocarpa isolate Nisqually-1 chromosome 6, whole genome shotgun sequence.
AGUUGAUGAUGACAAAUCCAAAGGCUUGUUUCUCAAAACAUUCGCAGUGGCCGCCUAAGAGCUUUCGCCUUUGCCAGGCUUGAGAGCUUAUGCUGCUUUAUCCUUCCUUGGAUGUCUGAAACU